rnacentral:misc_RNA from 1 species
GUGAGGUCCGUGAGGUAAAGCUGAAGUUAACGUCUCCAUGGGCCUCUUUUCCACUCCGUGUCUUCGCCGCCUCCGCCACCUACCACUCUCCGUCUCACAACACCACCAGAACCAGCUCCACUUCUCCCAUCUCUCUCCCUUUCCCUCUCCCUCCUCGAUGAAUUCUUCGCUUCACUCACAUCCGACGUCCAAUUGGCGUCCCCAUUCCCAAAAAGCUCGCCGCUAGAGUCAGUACCCACCGCUAACGGGAAAUCCGAGCAGGUCCCAUAAGCGGCAGACGCUCCAACUGAGCAACACCGUCGAGUUCCACUCCGAUCGGAGCUCCGACCAGACACCGACCGGGACCCAUUCCGCCGCCGUUUACGAGCGAUCAACCUUAAGCUACCUCGCUUGAAGGGACUUGCCACAAUACCAGUGGGUUUGUCGUCGUCGAUGAGUGAGAGCUUAGAGAUGUCGAUUGAAUCAAUGGGAAAUGAAGUAGCACGAUCGGAUAGACAGGGACGCUUAGUGAGGGUGUGGGAGUGGAGACCCAUAGUGGAAUAAGGCUUAGGAGGAUCGGAGUCUAAGGUCUGGAGGUGGAAAGGUCUCCAGGAGUGGAGCUGGAAGGCGCAUGAAUCUAUAGAGUGAAGCGAAUCGAGGGUCCUGUGAGACAUUAGAAGAAGAUGAAUGAAGAAUUGAAAAUGGAAGAGGUUUGAGGAGACAAGCUGAAGAAAGUUGGAGAAUGAAGGCGAAGGAAGAAGAAAGUUGAAGAGACAAGCUGUAGCCCGCCUGGAGGUACUAGUUUGGAGUUGGGAGGGACGACUGCAAAAGAAAGUGGUGCUUAAGAUACUUUGAUACUAGCAUUUGGGUCGCCUGGGCCCU